GUGCUUGCUUUAGCAGCACGUGUACUAAAGAUUAGAACAAUGCGGAGAAGAUUAGCGUGUUCCCUGCUCAAGGAUGAUACGCAAAUUCGUGAUGUGUUAAUAUUUUUU
ensembl:snRNA U6 U6 spliceosomal RNA